GAGACGAUGAAUAUCUGAAAAGUUGCAUAGAUUAGGCUAUGUAGAAUACACACAGAUGGCUUUGUCCCUUUCAUGUUUUGGAACAUAUUCAAAAAAAAAAAAAAUUAUGGUUCUUAGGGCAUAGUAGGUUAGCUAAGCUAUAUUUCCUUACGAAAUUUGAGAUGUCAACUAGCUUUUACCUGCAUUCGUGUAACAACUACCCAAAUGGGGUUUGUCAA
rnacentral:misc_RNA from 1 species